AUAAGAAUAGCCAACUGUUAGUUUAAUAAUAUUUUUAUUUUAAAAAAAUAUCAUUUCCUUAUGCUUCGAUAUAGAAAAAUGAAAAUUUUCAAUAUUUUUGAGAUUUAAGUGUUUUUUGUAGACAUUAAAAUUUUUAGUGAGAUAAAUUAUCAUUAAAUUGGUCUCAUAAGAAAAAUGUGAUCCCAAUUCAACAAAAUCUAGGAUGCAUAAGUAAUAUGUCCUACACACAUUUGGCAUGUGAAAGAAUUAAGAAAAUAUUUUGUUAGCU
rnacentral:lncRNA from 1 species